rnacentral:rRNA from 1 species
UGGGGAAUAUUGGACAAUGGGGGGAACCCUGAUCCAGCCAUGCCGCGUGUGUGAAGAAGGCCUUAUGGUUGUAAAGCACUUUAAGCAAGGAGGAGGGUACUGGUAUUAAUACUACCAGGUACUGGACGUUACUCGCAGAAUAAGCACCGGCUAACUCUGUGCCAGCAGCCGCGGUAAUACAGAGGGUGCGAGCGUUAAUCGGAUUUACUGGGCGUAAAGCGUGCGUAGGCGGCUAAUUGAGUCGGAUGUGAAAUCCCCGAGCUUAACUUGGGAAUUGCAUUCGAUACUGGUUAGCUAGAGUGUGGGAGAGGAUGGUAGAAUUCCAGGUGUAGCGGUGAAAUGCGUAGAGAUCUGGAGGAAUACCGAUGGCGAAGGCAGCCAUCUGGCCUAACACUGACGCUGAGGUACGAAAGCAUGGGGAGCAAACAGG